AAAACAGCCCUACGGGAGGCAGCAGUAAGGAAUAUUGGUCAAUGGACGCAAGUCUGAACCAGCCAUGCCGCGUGGAGGAUGAAGGUCCUCUGGAUUGUAAACUUCUUUUAUCUGGGACGAAAAAGGGGCAUUCUUGCUCAACUGACGGUACCAGAUGAAUAAGCACCGGCUAACUCCGUGCCAGCAGCCGCGGUAAUACGGAGGGUGCAAGCGUUAUCCGGAUUCACUGGGUUUAAAGGGUGCGUAGGCGGGUGUGUAAGUCCGUGGUGAAAUCUCUGAGCUUAACUCGGAAACUGCCAUGGGUACUGCAUAUCUUGAAUGUUGUGGAGGUGAGCGGAAU
rnacentral:rRNA from 1 species